UAACACAGUAAAGGAGUUUAAGCAUGCGUGGGAUAGGCAUAAGGCUAUCCUAACUAUAAGAUAAGGCCAGGGACUAAUGAAAGUCUUUAGAAAAUUGGGCAGACUAGAUGGGCUGAAUGGUUCUUAUCUGCUGUCACAUGUCACUAUGUUUCUAUCAGACAUUGAGCGGAAAUGCUGGCACAGAGCCAAUGGGCACCAGCUUACAGACAAAAGUUGAUUAACGGUUUAAGCAGUAAAGGGAAG